rnacentral:snRNA from 1 species
AGAAGGCUAGUGAAUUUUGCACA